GGUCUUAAGGUGAUAUUCAUGUCGAAUUGCAAAUUUGAAGGUGUAGAGAAAUCCUUUACUAAGACUU
rnacentral:tRNA from 1 species